rnacentral:rRNA from 1 species
UUUCGCAAUGCCCGAAAGGGUGACGAAGCGACGCCGCGUGAGCGAAGAAGGCCCUAGGGUUGUAAAGCUCUGUCGGGGGUUAUGAAAUGUAGAUCGGUUAAUACCCGGUUUAUUUGACAAAGGCCCCAAAGGAAGCCACGGCUAACUCUGUGCCAGCAGCCGCGGUAAUACAGAGGUGGCAAGCAUUGUUCGGUAUUAUUGGGCGUAAAGAGCACGUAGGUGGUUUUGUAAGUCAGAUGUGAAAGCCUUCUGCUCAAAGGAAGAACGGCAUCUGAAACUGCGAAUCUUGAGUGUAGGAGGGGAGAGUGGAACUUCUGAUGGAGCGGUGAAAUGCGUAGAUAUCAGAAGGAACGUCGGCGGCGAAAGCGACUCUCUGGCCUAUUACUGACACUGAGUGUGCGAAAGUUAGGGGAGCAAACGGGAUUAGAUACCCCGGUAGUCCUAACUGUAAACGAUGGGCACUAAGUAGAGGGGU